AGUGAACGCUGGCGGCGUGCCUAAUACAUGCAAGUCGAACGGAGUGGCGCACGGGGGAGAAAUAUAUAGCUAAUCUGCCCCUUUCUGGAGGACAAACGUUAGAAAUGACUGCUAAUACCCCAUAGCAAGGGAUGAGACUAUAUCGUAUCAGCUAGUCGGUGGGGUAACGGCCUACCGAGGCUAUGACGCGUAACUGGUCUGAGAGGAUGAUCAGUCACAUUGGAACGGAGAAACGGUCCAAACUCCUGCGGGAGGCAGCAGUAGGGAAUAUUGCGCAAUGGGGGAAACCCUGACGCAGCAACGCCGCGUGGAGGAUGACACUUUUCGGAGCGUAAACUCCUUUUGUUAGGGAAGCGGUACCUAACGAAUAAGCACCGGCUAACUCCGUGCCAGCAGCCGCGGUAAUUC
rnacentral:rRNA from 1 species